AACUUAAAUGCGCGCCUCACAAAUUGAGCGCUCAUCCCAUGCGCGCGGAUCUUGGCGCGAUCCGACCCGGACCCGGAUCCAUCAUAUAAAAAAAAUCCUAAAAACCUACCAUUUUCUUCUCCCAUCUUCUCUCUCCUUCUUUUCCUCAGGCUCCAGCCACCAAUGUCGCUCCUAGCUCCGGUCGUGGGUCGCCGCGCGCCACUCUACCCUCCAGCUUUGGAGCCGCGCCCCCUCCAGCUGUCGCCGCCGCACCGCAUCAACGGUUGUCAAAUUUAAGCGAGAGAUGGUGAAGGCGCCGACCUUCACCGAUUGAGGGCGGGGGCGGCGUUGUGGUUGCAAAUUGAGAUCUCGCUUGUGUGUUAGUGAACGAGUUCAGGGAGAUAGAGGGGAAGGGGCGAAGACAUCGAGGGAGGCGAUGACACCGGGAAUCGAAGGUGGGCAGCGGCGCCGCCCUCUAAUUUUCAUCCUUCUCUCUUCUCACGACGAACGGGAGAGAUCUGAGCCGAGGCCUGAGAGAAAAUAACGGUCGCCGCCGGAGUCAUAGUCUGGUAUUGAGGCAGCGGCGGCGGCGCAGCACGUGCAGUGCACUUUGCUCUUCUGCCCAACUUAUGUUUCUAUGUGUAUGUUGAAGUAUCAUUUGACACUUGACACUUUCAUAAAUAACACUAUCAUUUAGAGAUUUGGAGGAGAAUGGGAAUUUGGGGUUUGAUUGGAGGAGAGAGGUGAGGAUGUUUUAGUUUGAAAUGUUGAACCUCUGUUCAUGGGGAAUUGCUAGUUCAUGGAGCUGGUGGCGGGCUGGACCUUCUGGGCGAAGGGCCGGUGGAGAUAGGGCUGCGGCUGGGCGGCGUCCAAGGCGCUGGAUCUCGAGCCGAAGAAAUCGAGCCUGCUCCUCGGGAAAGAGGGGCUUGAUGGGCGGUGCGAGGAUUACGUGUGCAGAUUUGCGGAAGCUCUGAGAAUGCAGAUGGAGGUGCAGAGGAAGCUGGAGCAGAAAAUGGAGGUGCAGAGACAUUUGCAGAUGAGAAUCGAAGCUCAAGGAAGGUACCUGCAGUCGGUGCUCAACAAGGCCAAGGAGACUCAACAUCACCUGCUCCACUCCGCCUCGGACCACAGCUCUCUCAGUAAAGCAAAGCAAAAAGGCACUCUCAUGAAUACCUCCAGGUUGUGUGUGCUUUGUAAUAACCGCAAACAGCAGGGGUGAAAUUUUUGGAGCCAUAAUGUCUCAUGGCAUUAAAAUGGUACCUUUAUAUUGUAUGCCGAAUAUCUUAUCUGGUGAUGUAUGUGAUUUCUGUUUGGGUUCUUCUUCACUUUGUAAAGAUGACAUGGAAGCUAAUUUAAUUAUGUUACACUCUGCAAGUUGAAAUUCAUAGUUCAGGAGGAGGCAAUGUUCUACUGGAUUGGCAAGGAAAGAGAUAAUAGGAGAUUGGUUUGAUUUAUGCUGGAAACAAAAGCAAGACAAUGCAAGUACAGUGAUAUUGAAUCGAGUACCAGACUGAAAGGCGCAGUUCCUCACGAACAUAAAAGUUCAUUUUGUCACAAAAAAUAUCCAAAGAGAUUGUAGUUAUUGCUUCUUUGGAAGAGUUCCAAAAAAUUGCCUCUUGCUUCCCCAAAUACACAGCCAUGCUGAUUAGUACCAGUUGCUUGGGAAGCAGUUAUCAUACUGUCACAGGUACUUUGAGUGCUGCUAGAAUCUUGUCAUCUAACUCAAAUUGAAUCUGUUUCUUGUCUCUGCCAAUCUUAACAUACUCUUGUAGUUUCAUUCCAAUUCUUGUAGUUUUAACGUGCAUUGUUUCAUUAUAUAAAUGAUAUAGUUUCAUUCCAAUUUAGUUAUUGAAUAUUGUAGUUUCAUUAUAUAAAUGAUAUAGUUUCAUUCCAA